rnacentral:rRNA from 1 species
UACGGAGGGGGCGAGCGUUAUUCGGAAUUAUUGGGCGUAAAGGGCUCGUAGGCGGCUUGAUGUGUCAGAGGUGAAAUCCCUCGGCUCAACUGAGGAACUGCCUUUGAAACUGUCUGGCUUGAGGCCGGGAGAGGGUAGCGGAAUUCCCAGUGUAGCGGUGAAAUGCGUAGAUAUCAGGAGGAACACCGGUGGCGAAGGCGGGACUCUGGGCCGAUACUGACGCUGAGGAGCGAAAGCGUGGGGAGCAAACAGG